rnacentral:misc_RNA from 1 species
AGAGGGAUAAUCAUAUUAUGUAGGGAGAGAAAGAGAUGAGGAGAGAAAGAGAUUGAAAUAGAAAGAGAUUGAGAUUAUAUUAUAUACAUUUAACAUGCUUCAGUUUGUAUUGUCACAUAUUCUCUCUGUUUUGACAUAUAUUCUCUGUAUUAUUACAUAUAAGAAUAUGGCUAAAAGACUUUUGAGCUACAACAAAACCAAGUUAACAAUCGCAACCCGGGAAAUAUAGCCUUUAAUUCAAACACGAAUUAAUUUAUUUCCCCAUGCAAAACCUGGAUUUAAUCCUUUGUGAAAGGCCGGAAGUUUGCAAGAUGUUUUACACAUUCUGUUGAUAGACAUUGCAUUGAAUUAUUGAAGUCUUUCCAAGAUGCAGCAGGUAGCUGCUACUGAACAAGGCUUUGUAGAGAUCCUGACAGUACGAGUUGUCAUGGUAAUUACGCACACCGAUCGACAGGCAGACAUUUGAUCCGUGACGUCACAGGCAUCUGAUUGCUAAAUCCAACAUGGCGUGUUUGACAGGAUGCUUGUUGACAGAUUUACUACUUUUAAUAACAGCUGACAAGUGAUGACUAUUCGGUCGUGACGAUGAAGUAAAGACUUAAUUUAUCAAAUGUGCACUCUGGUUAUGGCUGCCUCGUCUUCGGGAGCGGGCGGGGUGACGGCGACAGUGACAUGUCCAACGUGUGAUCACACCGUCCCGCAAGCCCCCGGAACAAAACGAACUAUCUGUCCCAACUGUGGCAACUUCUACGACCGCGAGUCUGCGGAACGGCCGCCUUCGUACCGGAGAACUCGACAAAGCAACCCAGCGAGACUGCCCAACUUGAGGGACAAUCCAGACAAUGGCAAAAGCAAAGGAGGAAGUCGACUACAGUCCAUUGCAAAUUUUUUUCAAAAUCUUGGACCGGUGCGCAGUUCAUCAUCAAACAAUUCACAGGAGCGUCGGCCCUCGGCUGGAUCCAACACUGGAGUGAAAUCUGAGUUACCUCCCAUUGCUGAUGAGAAGAAUCUGACAAAUGCUAAGAAGAAACCAUCUUAUUUACCAUUGCCAUCGGCAGGACCCACACCACACUCCAGUCCACUAGGAUCUCCGAAAAAUGACCCUCCUGGGCCUGACAAACCCCCCAGAAGUCCUGGACCUGCAGAAACAAUACAAACGAAUCAUCUGAAAAAUGCCACAGCGGAACAGUUAAGACGAGAAGUUAAACAAUGCUGUGAGUCUGGAUUGUGGCGAUCUCUUCACGACUUCUAUGCAAUGACGUUUGAUUCAUUCAUUGAACUAAAUGCUGCUUUCAAGAUUGAUCCAUCCCAAGAAUACAAGACGGUUGAGGAGCCUGGAAUCAAGUUUGAUUAUGUGGGAGAUAUCUACCACAUUCUGCUUUCUCUUCCCAACAACAUUCAGAAAGAAGUUCUUAAGGCUAUCAUAAACAAUUUGCUCAAAGACAAAAGGAACCAUGAUCACCGAAUAUGGCCGCACAGUAAAGAUGAUUUGCGAGCUUACCUCAUCUUGUUACAGAACCCACAGUUCACGUCCCAGUCUACAUACAUUAUAUUUGCUCACCUGCUGAGACAAAUUGCAGCUUUAUCAGACCACGACCACCAUUUUCUUGUACACUGGAUCCGAAAGAUGAAACCAUCAGUGGUGAAAGCUGUUCUAGAUCGACUUCACAAUUUCAUUUCUGUCCGUCUCUUUCCUCCAAAACCACAAGAUUUACCUCCCUUGUCGAAAUGUACCUGGUGGAUCCCAAGUGCCACAAAAGUGAUGGCUCUGUUUAAUGCAAGUAACAACAUGUUUACCCCGAUGGUUUCAUACAUCGACUUCUACAACAGCUCCCUUGAUCACCUGGACCUUAUGGCCGAGUACUACGCCUGGCAGAACCCGAAUUCUCAUUCAGGGUUCUCUUUCUGUCAGUACCCGUUCAUCCUGAGUAUUGCUGCCAAGAGAUCGAUACUGCAGAAAGACUCAGAGCAGCAGAUGAUCGUCAUGGCUAGAAAAAGUCUGGUGGCCAAAGUCCAGAGACGCCAGCUGCCGGACAUCGGGAUGUUGUUUCUCAACCUGACCAUCCGGAGGUCGCAUCUUGUGUCGGACUCGCUACAUGAGAUUGCACGUAAACAGCAGGACCUGAAGAAGAAGCUGAAGGUGACGUUCUCGGGGGAGCCGGGUCUCGACAUGGGGGGGCUCACCAAGGAGUGGUUUCUGCUGCUGAUCCGCAGAAUCUUCCAGACGGACUACGGGAUGUUCACGUACAACAAGACGUCAGGGGUGUACUGGUUCAGCUCCUUCCCGUGUGACAACUACCAGGAGUUCAACCUUGUUGGUGUCUUGAUGGGUUUGGCGGUGUACAACAGCAUCAACUUGGAUCUUCAUUUCCCGCCCAGCUGUUACAAGAAGCUGCUGAGUCCCGCGGUCGUUCCCUUCAACAACCCACGCGCCACUGUCGGCGUCGCUCCGGUGUCAUUACUUGACUUGAACAUGAUUCAGCCGGAUGUUGCGAAAGGUCUACAGAAUUUGUUGGACUAUGAUGGAAGUGUAGAGGAUGACUUUGGUCUGACCUUUCAGAUAUCACAAAGUGAGUUUGGAGGGCUGAAAACUAUUCCUUUGAAGCCAGGAGGUGAAAAUAUUCCUGUUUCAAAUGAAAACAGAAAAGAAUAUGUUCAAUUAUAUGUGGACUGGGUGCUGAACCGGUCAGUUUACGCACAAUUCCAGGCAUUCUACCAUGGGUUCCACAGUGUGUGUGCAUCGAACGCUCUCAUAAUGCUGCGACCGGAGGAGGUGGAGAUGUUGGUGUGCGGCAGUCCGACACUGGACAUGUCUGAGCUGAAGAAAGUCACCUCAUACGACGGCUAUACAGCACAGGACCAUACAGUCAAGUUUUUCUGGGAUGUUGUGUUGGCAUGGUCUCCAGACUUGCAGAAGAAACUGCUGCUAUUUACAACAGGAAGUGAUCGGGUGCCGGUCGGGGGCAUGGCGGAGAUGUCUUUCAAAAUCACACGCGUGUCAGGACAGGAACUGUUGCCGAUGGCCCACACCUGCUUUAACCAGCUCGUUCUGCCGGCGUACAAGAGUAAGCGGAUACUCAAACAGAAACUCACUGCUGCCAUUCAGAAUACCGAGGGCUUUGGGCUCGAAUAACAAGAAAUGAUUACAAUUGUUUUUUAUUCUAACUGCUGUGAUACAGGAUACGGAGAUAUUCGGAGAGUAACAUACUGUUUCUUUAUGCAUACAUGCCACAUGUUUGAUUGGGUCUCUAUUCAGCAAAAUGGCGAAAUAUGAUUCCUUUGUUAAUUAUAUGGUACAAUACUGCUGUGUCCAAAUAUCUGCAUAUUACAGACUUAUAUUUUGCAAAUAAGUAUGAACACUUCUUAGUAUGAAUAUUCAUGAUUUUUAAAUUUUUACUUGCCUUUGUUAGUUCAUGUGGUCAAAGUUGUUUUUCAUUUUUACUUGCCUUUGUUAGUUAAUGUGGUCAAAGUUGUUUUUCAUUUUUACUUGCCUUUGUUAGUUAAUGUGGGCAAAGUUGUUUUGUUGGUCUGUGAAGGUACAAUAUGUUGUAAGUGUUUGAAGAUGUUUUCACCUUUAUGGUCACAAAAUGAUGGACACAUAUUAGUUUUAACAGCUGAUUUUAUUGUAUUAUUUAAGACUAUUUUAUAUUUAUUAUAUAUAUAUAUAUAUAUAUAUAUAUUGUAUUUUACUUUUUAAUAAUCCACUGGAGAGAGCACUGGACAUCACUGAAAAUAUUUGGUUUGGUGUUCAACUUGAUUUGAGUUGUACUUUUGUCAUUCCUUGUUUUGUAAAAUGUAUUUUAUAUUACAGUAUGGAUGUUUAAAUAUUUUAUGUUGUUUAAAUAUAUGGGCAACAGUAUGAUCACAACUUAUUUUAUUAACAUAAUUUUGUUUAAAAAAUAUUUAUUGUUUUCUCAGUUUGCUAAAUUAACAGUUUGUUUGAUAAUUGUGGUUUUAUCAUUUUAUUUUAACAAUAUUCUUUAUAUCAUAUUCCAAAAGUAAGGAAAACUAGUUUAAUCAAGACCUCCUUCAUAAUUUGUUAUUUUGCAGAUGUAGUGAUUGUUAUGUUAGAACUCCCCAAGUGCACAUAGUCAACAUUAUGUUAUGUUCAAUUGUAAGUACGGUAGUAAUUUUGUAUGGUCUCAUUAAACAGUUAUCUUCUGGGUCCACCAUAGUUUCUAACUGAGAAACGGUCUACUCUACAUAUUCACUUCCAGUAAUUAGAGAACAUUUAAAAUGAUUUAUGUUCCUAAAGGCUCUGUUCUCGACUGAAUUUCACUGAAGAGAUCGUUUCAUAUUACUAGUGAGUAUUUAAUAGAUCUGGUGUAUUCCUAAAGUCUCUGUCCUCGACUGAAUUUCACUGAAGAGAUUGUUUCAUAUUACUAGUGAGUAUUUAAUAGAUCUGGUGUAUUCCUAAAGUCUCUGUUCUCGACUGAAUUUCACUGAUAAGAUUGUGUCAUAUUAUUAGUGUGUAUUUGAUAGGUCUGGUGUAUUCCUAAAGGCUCUGUUCUCGACUGAAUUUCACUGAUAAGAUUGUGUCAUAUUAUUAGUGUGUAUUUGAUAGGUCUGGUGUAUUCCUAAAGUCUCUGUUCUCGACUGAAUAUCACUGAUCAGAUUGUGUCAUAUUAUUAGUGUGUAUUUGAUAGGUCUGGUGUAUUCCUAAAGUCUCUGUUCUCGACUGAAUUUCACUGAUAAGAUUGUGUCAUAUUAUUAGUGUGUAUUUGAUAGGUCUGAUGUAUUCCUAAAGGCUCUGUUCUCGACUGAAUUUCACUGAUAAGAUUGUGUCAUAUUAUUAGUGUGUAUUUGAUAGGUCUGGUGUAUUCCUAAAGGCACUGUUCUCGACUGAAUUUCACUGAUAAGAUUGUGUCAUAUUACUAGUGUGUAUUUGAUAGGUCUGGUGUAUUCCUAGUCUCUGUUCUCGACUGAAUAUCACUGAUAAGAUUGUGUCAUAUUAUUAGUGUGUAUUUGAUAGGUCUGGUGUAUUCCUAAAGGCUCUGUUCUCGACUGAAUUUCACUGAUAAGAUUGUGUCAUAUUAUUAGUGUGUAUUUGAUAGGUCUGGUGUAUUCCUAAAGGCACUGUUCUCGACUGAAUUUCACUGAUAAGAUUGUGUCAUAUUACUAGUGUGUAUUUGAUAGGUCUGGUGUAUUCCUAAAGGCUCUGUUCUCGACUGAAUUUCACUGAUCAGAUUGUGUCAUAUUACUAGUGUGUAUUUGAUAAGUCUGGUGUAUUCCUAAAAGCUCGGUUCUCGACUGAAUUUCACUGAUCAGAUUGUGUUAUAUUAUGUUUCUGAUAGGUGUGGUGGAAUGAUGAGUCACUUUGGCUCCAUUACCACCAGAAAACAAAUAGAUCUAUACAGCCUGGGGGAAAUAAUACUGAGACAUGUCUGCAUAAAACUCCUGAUGUUUUGAAUUUUUUUAAAUGGUAAUCGAUAUCAGGUCCACAGAGAACAGUUUAUUAUUGAAUUCUUUAACAUAAUAUUGAUUAUGUCAGAGAGGUUGCGAGGAGUGAUAAGAUCUUGGGAAAAUUGCCACUACCAUAGCAAAAGUUGGUCACUGAUUUGACAUUUUGUCCACACUUGAAUGUCAUGCAGUGCAUUCCGUCCAAAUCGAUAUCUGUGUAAUGGAGAUUUGUGUAAAACCUUCAUGAUCUCAAAGUUCUGUUCAGUGACAAUAUUUUAGGUGACGCCAAUCUAUUCUUGCACUCUGUGUAUACAAGUGCAGUGAGUCAUUUCCCCAAUGCAUCCGGUUUACAUUAUAUUAUGGUAUAUGUUUUAAAAUUAUUUUAUUUCUUUCCAAUAAUUUGACAUGGGAAGUGAAUAUAUUUUGACAAAUAGAUACCAGUGCAUAUACUAUAUCUUUAAGGAUGGAGGAAGAAUUCUUUGAUGAUUUAAAAACAUAUUUAACACAACCUUAAUAUCCACUAUACCUGUGUUCUUAGAAUUUUGUUAUGUACAAAUUAAAUAACCAGUAAUAAUUUGUUUUAGAGCCAGAGAACAAUCCGUAAUAUAUAUAUUUACCGACAGUAAUUAGAUAUAAUAAUGUACUGUAUAUAUAUAUAUAUUAAUUGAUGUGUUUAUGUGAUUACCAUAUUGGUGUGAAAUAACUAUGCAUGUAUCUUUGUGAUGUGUUAUAUUCUAGUCUUGGUUGCCUUGGCAACUGUACUCCUAGUCAUUUCAGUCUUGUUUGAAAAAACAAAGCAACUACUACUUGAAUGUGUAAGCCAAAUACUUUUAAACUAAGUUUGAGUCAGGGGAAUAACGUUGGACAAUCUCCGACAACAAUAUGAAUGCUGGUUUCCCUUGCUUUUGUUGCACAAAUUCAGCUGUGUUAUUACAGUUGAUGAGGUUUUUAUCAGUUCAUUUUUGUCCAUCCUUGAUCAAGUCAAAAGGCAAAAUAUAGGAAUUACUUUUCCAAUGACCGACAAUGUGAACUUUUUUGUUGAUUUUUAAUGUUAAGUUUUAGCAUUUAUAUCAAUUUCUCACAAACUAUAAGUCUUAGUCCAAGGGAAUUUUGUUUAUAGUCUCACCUAAUGGUAUGUAGGUUCAUCUAGAUACUUGUUAAAAAAAACAAAGAGGGAAAAACAUUUAUUACAUUUUAAGUUUUAGUUGAAAUACUCCAGCAUUUUGCUUAGUUACGUUUCCCCCGUGUUGAGCUCCAUUUGAAACAACCUUUAAGUCCUACACAAUUGAAACAUGGUUUAUAGUUCAGUCUAUAAAUAUUCAUCUCAAUGCAUGUUAAAUUUUUUUUUUAAAGAACUAGAUUAAUCAUGAAUUUUACAUCACAGAUUAUUUCUUUUAUAAAUUUUAAUCGAUUAAUUAUAAAAACCUUAUUGAGAUGAACAUGUGUGAAUAAAAUUAUGAGCAACGCAGAAUCAGUUUAUGGUAGGUAAGACAUUUAGUUGCAUGGAAUUCUGGUAUGGAUAUUUUCACAAUUAAUGACAGUUUUAAUAUAAUGUGACACUUUUAUCAAUUAACAAAUCAUUUUUGUUUUAAUUACAACAAAUCAAGGAAAUAAAAUACUAUUGAGAUUUGACCUGUGGUAUGUUUCUAAAAAGAUUAACUGUGCCAAAUAAAAUUUUGUUUUGAAAUUAACUUUUAUAUAUUUUUAUGUUUGGAGAUCCUAUAAAUAACAAAGGUCUGAUAUUGUCAGGCAUUUUUUUUUUUUUUUUUUUUUUUUUUUUAAUCAGUUGGUUUUUUAAUACAACACAAACUUGUACUUUUUUUAAUAUAAUACAUACUGUUUUUGUUUUUUUAGUACAGUACCAACUUGUACCUUUUUCAGUUCCGUAAAGACUGAAGUUUAUUUUCCGUCCAGUGUAAACAUACUUUUUCCAUCCAAUUGUGAGAAAGCGGUACUAGUAUUUACAAUUUUGAUAUUAUAUGAAUAUUGUACUAUUGCUCAAGGUUUUGCAUCAGUUAAGACUAGUUUUGCUUUCUGAUGUAACAUUUUCUAUUGUUGGUGUGUGUAAUACUUUAAUAAUGUGUUAUUGAAUGUUGGUGAUUUUUCUUAAUUUGUAUUGUCACAAUGUUAUAACUAUAUUCACAUUUUAAAGAUUUUUAUUUUAUUUUUGUAAAACCGAAUCACUGUUCAUUAUUGUUGUUAGAUUCCGUCCAUCUAUAUGUAAAACUGAUUUGUGAUCAACAUGUUAGCCAUUUGCAUUUUUCAGUGCUGGUUUUUUUAAUAUUCAUAUUUGUAAAGACUUUUAAAAUUAAAUUAUUUUCUUAAUAUAUGUUACACGACAUUCAUUUGGAGGUUGAGAAUUUUUGUUGUCAUUAAAUAGUCUCAUGGUUAAGUUUGAAACUUCUUUCUAAGAAGCAUGACAAUUUACUCUUAGCAUACAUACUGUAUACAUUUGUAAUCAAACACAUAUUUUAGUGGCCUGCAGACAAAAUGUAAAAAGCCUUUUUUUUAAGAAACCGCUAUCUAACCGUGGCAUUGAACUUUCAUGACCUUGGUAUACCCAGUGGCAAUACCAUAUAAGGAACCAUUCUCAUGAUUCAGAUCAAAGACAGGAAUUGUUACUUCAGGUUUAAUCUCCAGUUACUCUUCAAACAUAAUGAAAUCUACAUGUUGGCUUAGAUUUUUUUCCCCAAUAAAAAGACGAAAAUCACUAUGACACACAUAUACUUUUAAGCUGAUUUAAAUCUUUUUCAGUCUUAUGUAGAGAGAGAAAAAAAAGACAGAUAUGGAAAUGUAAAUCUUUUUUGUUUUUUAAACUUUGUUUCUGAUGAUAUUUUUAGAUUGAUAUACUAAUGAACCAGAAUCUAAUUCAUUGUAUUAACAAGUACAAAUAAGAAAGAAACUAAUGUUCGAUUUAUUUAUUUUUCUUAUAUUAUUUUGGGAGAUUUGUAUUUAUACUUUUCCAGUCUUUUUAGAGCCAUCAUUGAAAAUAAGAAUAGAAACCUUUUAGUCGUUCAUCUGCAAUCUUUUUGAGGUCUAAUUUCAAUUAUCAUAAUAUGGUUUAAAGAAACAUAUUUCCACUGUGUUUUGAAUUUACAUUUAUAAACAGAAUAUACAUCCUCUUCUUGAAGGAGCACCAACAUUCCAUUAAAUGUUGGAAUAUCUCAACAGAAUAUGGCAGCAUGCAGACACGACUGUGGUUAAUUUUAAUUUCAUCAACAUAUAGAUAUACUGGUUGUUUUACUUUAGCAAAUUUAGUAUUAUCAGUGAUGCUUUAGUGGAGACCGUAAAACUGAAAAUUUUAAACAGUAAAACCAUUGAUAUUCACUGGCAACUAAAAUCACCCAGGAUUAUCCCAAUUUUCACACGUUUUAAAAGAAAUAAAAUAACAAUCCUACAACAUAUUCUAAUAUUAUUGCAAUGUUUUCAUCUAAAUUGUGUGACUGAUUUUUUAAUGGAGAUAAAAAAAAAUCAAAUAUUUUCAUAACCAAAUAUUUUAAGUUCUGGCCAGGAAAAUUAUAUUUGCAAAAUUUAUGACUUUCCAGUAUUUCCAUGACCCAUAUGAACCCAGGUAAAGAGACUGUUCUGAUUUUCCAGUAUUUCCAUGUCCAGUAUGAACCCAGGUAAAGAGACUGUUCUGAUUUUCCAGUAUUUCCAUGUCCAGUAUAAACCCAGGUAAAGAGACUGUAUUUUCAUGACUCAUAUGAACCCAGGUAAAUAAGCUGUGCUGAGUUUUCAGUAUUUCCAUACCCAUAUGAACCAAAGUAAAUAGGCCAUUAUGAUUUUCCAGUAUUUCCACGACCCAUAUGAACCCAGGUAAAAAGACCAUUCUGAGUUUCCAUUAUGAUGCAGGUAAAUGAGUUUGCUGGCAUUGUAACGUGUUGGACUACCACUAGUACCAGAGCUUAAUAACUAAAAUUACAUAUUAAAACCAUUUUCUUGUUUGGAAUACCAGUGCCUGUAUAUUCAUGUCUGUAGUUGCUCACCGAUAUUCUAAAGAAGAAAAUAUAUUUAUUAUCAUGUAAUUUUGAUUGUUAACAAUGCUGCGUUAGAAAUGUAUAACAAAGACGACACAUUCAGGAUAUUCCCUUCAGUAAAUACGAUCACAUUCCUGUUAAGACUACGAUUACUGUCCGUAGAAAACAUGCAUUCUUCAGACUGAACAUUUGCUGUGGGUAAAAUUCUGGUUUUACUCCUGUCUGAUUUGUUGUACAAAUGUGUUGAAUAGGAAUGUUUUGCUAAACAAAGCUUAUUCUUUUGAUUUAUUUACAAUUGGUCAGUGGUGUCUCAGGUUAAACUGCUGCUUUUAAAUAUUUUAAGAACAAAAACUGAUUUUAAAUUCAAAUAGUUUUGAAACCUACUCUCCCCUGAUUUUAUGUGAAAUAGUUUUGAAACCUACUCUCCCCUGAUUUUAUGUGAAAUUGUUUUGAAACCUACUCUCCCCUGAUUUUAUGUGAAAUUGUUUUGAUAAAAAAAAAGAGAAAGAUUUUACUUUUAAUUUUUUUGAGAAGCUGAUUUUAUAUUCAAAUUGUUUUGAGAAUUUUUUUUAUUUAUUUACAAAUUGUUUUACUUACUUACCAGUUGUUUUGAGAAAAAGAUAUUUUAUUUUCAAAUUGUUUUAAGAUAAACAAAUUUCUUCUUGUUUUACAUUUUGUCAAAUGUUUCAAGCAAAUCAGUUUUUCUUGUUAUGAUGCUGCUAAUAAACAUUACAUCAGGAAGAGCCGUUUUAUAUAUGUUUGAUUAAUAAUCUUGUUAAUGUUUGUCUAAAAUACGACUGUCACAUGUAGUACUGCUUCUUGUUACUAAUAAACUAUAAGCACGU